rnacentral:rRNA from 1 species
UUGCGCAAAGGAGUGCACUCUAGGCAAAUCCGGAGUGAUUAUCUGAAGCGUGAUGACGAGUCUCUUUUGAGACGAAGUGGUUGAUACCAUGCUUCCAAGAAAAGUCCCUAAGCUUCAGGCAAAAGGAAUCCGUACCCCAAACCGACACAGGUGGGCGAGGAGAGUAUCCUAAGGCGUUUGAGAGAACUCGGGAGAAGGAACUCGGCAAAUUGGUACCGUAACUUCGGGAAAAGGUACGCCCCGGUAGCUUGACUGCUUUGCUGCAGAAGGGUGAAAGGGUUGCAAUAAAAUGGUGGCUGCGACUGUUUAAUAAAAACACAGCACUCUGCAAACACGAAAGUGGACGUAUAGGGUGUGA